CAGCAGCCACGGUAAUACGUAGGUCCCGAGCGUUGUCCGGAUUUAUUGGGCGUAAAGCGAGCGCAGGCGGCUAGAUAAGUCUGAAGUUAAAGGCUGUGGCUUAACCAUAGUACGCUUUGGAAACUGUUUAACUUGAGUGCAAGAGGGGAGAGUGGAAUUCCAUGUGUAGCGGUGAAAUGCGUAGAUAUAUGGAGGAACACCGGUGGCGAAAGCGGCUCUCUGGCUUGUAACUGACGCUGAGGCUCGAAAGCGUGGGGAGCAAACAGGAUUAGAUACCCCCGUAGUCCCUGUCUCUUAUACA
rnacentral:rRNA from 1 species